rnacentral:tRNA from 1 species
GCGGGAGUAGCUAAGCCUGGACAAAGGCGCAGGGCUUAAGAUCCUGUCUCAGAGGAGUCCGGGGGUUCAAAUCCCCUCUCCCGCA